rnacentral:rRNA from 1 species
CCUACGGGAGGCAGCAGUGAGGAAUAUUGGUCAAUGGACGAGAGUCUGAACCAGCCAAGUAGCGUGAAGGAUGACUGCCCUAUGGGUUGUAAACUUCUUUUAUAUGGGAAUAAAAUGUUCCACGUGUGGGAUUUUGUAUGUACCAUAUGAAUAAGGAUCGGCUAACUCCGUGCCAGCAGCCGCGGUAAUACGGUGGAUCCGAGCGUUAUCCGGAUUAAUUGGGUUUAAAGGGAGCGUAGGUGGAUUGUUAAGUUAGUUGUGAAAGUUUGCGGCUCAAACGUAAAAUUGCAGUUGAAACAGGCAGUCUUGAGUACAGUAGAGGUGGGCGGAAUGCGUGGUGUAGCGGUGAAAUGCAUAGAUAUCACGCAGAACUCCGAUUGCGAAGGCAGCAUACCGGCGCUCAACUGACGCUCAUGCACGAAAGUGUGGGUAUCGAACAGGAUUAGAUACCCCGGUAGUC